GAAUUUUAUUUUUAAGUAAAAAGGCUUAGAUAUGAUAGAAAGACGAGAAGACCCUAUAGAGUUUAAUAGGUGAAUAUUUUGAUUGCUAUAGGGUUUUAUUGUGAUUGUCUUAUUGCUUAUUUUGUUGGGGUGACACUUGAAUUGAAUAAACUUCUGUCUUUAUAUACAUUGAUUAAUGAGAGAAUGAUCCUGAGUUUUGGAUUAAAAGAAUAAAUUACCUUAGGGAUAACAGCGUAAUUCUUUUGGAGAGUUCUAAUCGAUAAAAGGGAUUGCGACCUCGAUGUUGGAUUAAAGAUAAAUUUUGGUGUAGAAGCUAAGAUUU
rnacentral:rRNA from 1 species